CUGCACCUGCUACCAUGGCACCGCCGGGACUCCUCCCCACUGCUUCCACCUCGACAAUGGUUUCCCCAACCCCGCCGGCUUCGCCACCAGCCACUCCUUCAUCCACAAUAAUCAUAGGAGACAGCUACACGGGCGAGCCUACGAGCAAGACCUCGACGACGCUGGCGGUGGAAGACCACGGAUGUGAGGGCGCUUGGAAGGCCGCGGUGCCGCGAUUAAGUCAUGAGGACCGCGGCGGCAGCAGUCAAAAUCUUCAUGAAGUCUCUCCGCUUACCCUCCCUCGGAGUCAGACCAUGGCUGCACGGAGCAGGUCCACCCACUAGGGGCUGGCCGCCGUGUCCGCCAUGAGGAUUCCUGCACUAAGCCUUGCCGGCAUUCCCGGCCACCAAGUUGGGCAAGUGCUAGAACCCAGGAGCAUAUGAUUUUGCUGCUCAUGACAUACGCGUCAAUAUUGCAAUCAACUCUGACUGCAAUUGUAUAGACAAGGGCCUGCAUUCUAUAUGGAAGGUUCGACAUUGAAGCUGCUCGCAUUGAUCUGCAAUAGAUCUUGACUUCAGCGGAAAAUGAGGUUUCAUGGAGGCAGUGCCUUAUUCUACAUGAUGGGAAUUCAACGGCAUUUUAUUGUUUUGUUCUUAAAUACUAGCUGGGUGUGCCGUCUAUUCACAGAUGAAGUAAUCUGAACAUCUCUUGCAGACAAAACGCUCGGGGAAAGUUCCCAGCCGUGCACCUGUGACCGCUGAAGAGGCAUACUGUUUUAGGAAUGCAUGACAGAC